GUACGGGGGGGGCAAGCGUUGUCCGGAUUUACUGGGCGUAAAGAGCGCGCAGGCGGUCGUUCAAGUCGCGUGUGAAAGCCCCCGGCUCAACUGGGGAGGGUCACGCGAUACUGAUCGACUCGAAGGCAGGAGAGGGUAGUGGAAUUCCCGGUGUAGUGGUGAAAUGCGUAGAUAUCGGGAGGAACACCAGUGGCGAAGGCGACUACCUGGCCUGUUCUUGACGCUGAGGCGCGAAAGCUAGGGGAGCAAACGGG
rnacentral:rRNA from 1 species